rnacentral:rRNA from 1 species
GACGAACGCUGGCGGCGUGCUUAACACAUGCAAGUCGAACGGUGAUGCUCCAGCUUGCUGGAGUGGAUCAGUGGCGAACGGGUGAGUAACACGUGAGCAACCUGCCCCAGACUCUGGAAUAAGCGCUGGAAACGGCGUCUAAUACUGGAUACGAAACUGGCCCGCAUGGGCAUGGUUUGGAAAGUUUUUCGGUUUGGGAUGGGCUCGCGGCCUAUUAGCUUGUUGGUGAGGUAAUGGCUCACCAAGGCGACGACGGGUAGCCGGCCUGAGAGGGCGACCGGCCACACUGGGACUGAGACACGGCCCAGACUCCUACGGGAGGCAGCAGUGGGGAAUAUUGCACAAUGGGCGAAAGCCUGAUGCAGCGACGCCGCGUGAGGGAUGACGGCCUUCGGGUUGUAAACCUCUUUCAGCAGGGAAGAAGCGAAAGUGACGGUACCUGCAGAAGAAGCACCGGCUAACUACGUG